rnacentral:rRNA from 1 species
CCUACGGGAGGCAGCAGUGGGGAAUCUUGGACAAUGGGCGCAAGCCUGAUCCAGCCAUGCCGCGUGAGUGAAGAAGGCCUUCGGGUUGUAAAGCUCUUUUGUCAGGGACGAUAAUGACGGUACCUGAAGAAUAAGCCCCGGCAAACUUCGUGCCAGCAGCCGCGGUAAUACGAAGGGGGGCUAGCGUUGUUCGGAUUUACUGGGCGUAAAGCGUACGUAGGCGGAUUGUUAAGUGAGAGGUGAAAUCCCAGGGCUCAACCCUGGAACUGCCUUUCAUACUGGCAAUCUCGAGUUCGGAAGAGGUGAGUGGAAUUCCUAGUGUAGAGGUGAAAUUCGUAGAUAUUAGGAAGAACACCGGUGGCGAAGGCGGCUCACUGGUCCGAUACUGACGCUGAGGUACGAAAGCGUGGGGAGCAAACAGGAUUAGAUACCCUGGUAGUCCACGCCGUAAACUAUGGGUGCUAGCCGUUGGAAAGCUUGCUUUUCAGUGGCGCAGCUACGACAUAGUACACCCGCCGUCGGGUAGGUACGGUCGGCGAGAUAAACUACAAGAAGUAGUAGACGNGNGAGAGCGACGACGACGACGACGGAGGAGGAG